rnacentral:rRNA from 1 species
AGCUCCAAUAGCGUAUAUUAAAGUUGUUGCAGUUAAAAAGCUCGUAGUUGGAUUUGUGGUUCGGGCGUUUCGGUUCCACUAGUUGGCAACCUGAAUCGUUUGACCAUCCUUGGGUGGAAUCUGUGUGGCAUUAGGUUGUCGUGCAGGGGAUGCCCAUCGUUUACUGUGAAAAAAUUAGAGUGUUCAAAGCAGGCUUAUGCCGUUGAAUAUAUUAGCAUGGAAUAAUAAUAUAGGACCUAGGUACUAUUUUGUUGGUUUGUUUACCUUGGUAAUGAUUAAUAGGGACAGUUGGGGGUAUUCGUAUUCCAUUGUCAGAGGUGAAAUUCUUGGAUUUUUGGAAGACGAACUACUGCGAAAGCAUUUACCAAGGAUGUUUUCA